rnacentral:rRNA from 1 species
AUGGAAAAUGAUGUGAAAAUGAGGGAAAUAGUUACCAAGAUAGUCAAAAAGUCAGGACUGUUACCACUAGCUAUUCUCACAAUAGGAGGCAUGCUUGCCACUAGAGAGGUUAGUGAAUGGCAAAGUAUUUACGACCAGAUCCCCUUAGAACUAGAGAGCGACCGAAGUCUUGAAGCAAUGAGGAGGAUGGUUACCCUGAGUUACAACCACUUGCCUUCUCAUCUUAAGUCGUGUUUUCUGUAUUUAAGCAUAUUUCCUGAGGAUUUUGAAAUCCAAAGGAGACGUCUCGUAGAAAGAUGGAUAGCCGAGGGGUUUGUUAUUGUCAGGGAUGGGGUAAGUGCUGAGGAGGUUGGGAAUAGUUACUUUAAUGCUCUAAUCAACAAAAGCAUGAUUCAGCCAUCAAGAGUGAACAUAGAAGGAGUUGUGAAGAGCUGUCGAGUCCAUGAUAUUGUGCGUGAUGUCAUGAUCUCAGUUUCUAGAGAUGAAAAUUUCGUGUAUGUGGAGGGAAAUAAUGUAACUGGUCCUAUGGAUAUUCACAUAUUUAUAAACUUCCUAGAUCCAUAG